ACUUCGUAUUGUGUAAUAUAACGGUUGGACCUCAUCUGGCAGCACGGAAUCGCAUUUGUUCCGUCUGUGCUACCACGUGCUGCAGUGUGCUGCCGCAUGAGAACGCGCGCUGUCGCAUUGCACAGACAAAAAAGGCGAUCGCGAUAGCAAGUGAUCGGCGGUGAAAGGAUGCGUUAGCAUGCUAUCGCACGCUUCAGCGUUCCGGAGUCUCCCUGCCGACCAUUGCAUUUU